rnacentral:rRNA from 1 species
GACGAACGCUGGCGGCGUGCCUAAUACAUGCAAGUCGAGCGCUGAAGGUUGGUACUUGUGCCAACUGGAUGAGCAGCGCACGGGUGAGUAACGCGUGGGGAAUCUGCCUUUGAGCGGGGGACAACAUUUGGAAACGAAUGCUAAUACCGCAUAAAAACUUUAAACACAAGUUUUAAGUUUGAAAGAUGCAAUUGCAUCACUCAAAGAUGAUCCCGCGUUGUAUUAGCUAGUUGGUGAGGUAAAGGCUCACCAAGGCGAGGAUACGUAGCCGACCUGAGAGGGGGAUCGGCCACAUUGGAAGGGGGCCACGGCCCAAACUCCUGCGGGAGGGAGCAGUGGGGAAUCGUGGGCAAUGGAGGAAAGUAUGACCGAGCAGGCGCGAGGGGGUGAAAAAGGUUUUCGGUUCGGAAAGCCCUUUUGGGGGGAAAAAACCGUGGUGGGGGGGGAAGGCGCGUGAGUGACGGUAAACAACCAAGAAGGACAGGCUAACUACGUG